GAUGAACGCUGGCGGCGUGCCUAAUACAUGCAAGUCGAGCGAACAGACCAGGCUCUUGCUCCUCUGACGUUUGCGGCGGACGGGUGAGUCACACGUGGAUCCCCUCCCUAUCUGACUGGGAUCACUUCGGGAAACCGGAGCUAAUACCGUAUAAUAUAUUGAACCGCGUGGUUCAAUAGUGAAAUACGGCUUUGCUGUCACUUCUAGCUGGAUCCGCGCCGCAUUAGCUAGUUGUUACGUUAACGGCCUACCAAGGCAACGAUGCGUAGACGACCUGAUGGGGUGAUCGGCCACCCGGGAACUGAGACACGGUCAAGAGGCCUACGAGAGGCAGCAGUAGGGAAUGUUAGGCAAUAGGCGAGAGCAUGACGGAGCAACGGCGCGUGAGAGAUGAAGGUGUCCGGAUCGGAAAACUCUGUUAUGAGGGAAGAACCAAUGUGUAAGUAACUAUGCACGUCUUGACGGUACCGAAUAAGAAAGCAACGGCUAACUACGUG
rnacentral:rRNA from 1 species